rnacentral:rRNA from 1 species
UACGGGGGGGAGCAAGCGUUGUUCGGAUUUACUGGGCGUAAAGGGCGCGUAGGCGGCCACCGCAAGUCGACUGUGAAAACUCCAGGCUCAACCUGGAGACGCCACUUGAUACUGCUGUGGCUAGAGUCCGGUAGGGGAGCAUGGAAUUCCUGGUGUAGCGGUGAAAUGCGCAGAUAUCAGGAGGAACACCAGUGGCGAAGGCGGUGCUCUGGGCCGGAACUGACGCUGAGGAGCGAAAGCGUGGGGAGCAAACAGG